GAGGGACUUGCAUUCUCAAUGGCUCUGGUGGGGCAGAACCCUAUGCUGAGAAUCUCUGAUGGAGGUUCCAGUUCAGGAAAAUAUUAAAACAGAGAACUGGAAGGGACUUCAUAAAAUGCUUACAGUUUUACAGGACUGUUCUGUAAAAGGUUGCACUAAGGAGAUAGAUGUUUUGAAGAAGAUUCUAUCCUCAGGUAACUAUUCCUGCUUGGCAGUUCUCCAGCUGCAAGGGUGGGGG
rnacentral:lncRNA from 1 species